rnacentral:rRNA from 1 species
AGUGAACGCUGGCGGCAGGCCUAACACAUGCAAGUCGAACGGCAGCACAGAGGAGCUUGCUCCUUGGUUGGCGAGUGGCGGACGGGUGAGGAAUACAUCGGAAUCUGCACUGUCGUGGGGGAUAACGUAGGGAAACUUACGCUAAUACCGCAUACGACCUUCGGUAGAAAGAGGGGGAUCACAAGAACUCUCGCGAUUGGAUGAGCCGAUGUCGGAUUAGCUAGUUGGCGGGGUAAAGGCUCACCAAGGCGACGAUCCGUAGCUGGUCUGAGAGGAUGAUCAGCCACACUGGAACUGAGACACGAUCCAGACUCCUACGGGAGGCAGCAGUGGGGAAUAUUGGACAAUGGGCGCAAACCGGAUCCAGCCAUGCCGCGUGAGUGAAGAAGGCCUUCGGGUUGUAAAGCUCUUUUGUCCGGAAAGAAAAGCUUCCGAUUAAUACUCGGGAGUCAUGACGGUACCGGAAGAAUAAGCACCGGCUAACUUCGUGCCAGCCGCCGCCGUAA